UCAAUAGAAGCCAAAUAAAGAGGCAUCUCACUGUUAAUGAGAAGAUUGAAAUUAAUUUCCUAUUGAA